rnacentral:rRNA from 1 species
GCCAAGUUGGGGCGUGCCUAAUAAUGCAAGUCGAGCGGACAGAAUGGGAGCUUGCUCCCUGAUGUUAGCGGCGGACGGGUGAGUAACACGUGGGUAACCUGCCUGUAAGACUGGGAUAACUCCGGGAAACCGGGGCUAAUACCGGAUGCUUGAUUGAACCGCAUGGUUCAAUUAUAAAAGGUGGCUUUUAGCUACCACUUACAGAUGGACCCGCGGCGCAUUAGCUAGUUGGUGAGGUAACGGCUCACCAAGGCAACGAUGCGUAGCCGACCUGAGAGGGUGAUCGGCCACACUGGGACUGAGACACGGCCCAGACUCCUACGGGAGGCAGCAGUAGGGAAUCUUCCGCAAUGGACGAAAGUCUGACGGAGCAACGCCGCGUGAGUGAUGAAGGUUUUCGGAUCGUAAAACUCUGUUGUUAGGGAAGAACAAGUACCGUUCGAAUAGGGCGGUACCUUGACGGUACCUAACCAGAAAGCCACGGCUAACUACGUGCCAGCAGCCGCGGUAAUACGUAGGUGGCAAGCGUUGUCCGGAAUUAUUGGGCGUAAAGCGCGCGCAGGCGGUUUCUUAAGUCUGAUGUGAAAGCCCCCGGCUCAACCGGGGAGGGUCAUUGGAAACUGGGGAACUUGAGUGCAGAAGAGGAGAGUGGAAUUCCACGUGUAGCGGUGAAAUGCGUAGAGAUGUGGAGGAACACCAGUGGCGAAGGCGACUCUCUGGUCUGUAACUGACGCUGAGGCGCGAAAGCGUGGGGAGCGAACAGGAUUAGAUACCCUGGUAGUCCACGCCGUAAACGAUGAGUGCUAAGUGUUAGAGGGUUUCCGCCCUUUAGUGCUGCAGCAAACGCAUUAAGCACUCCGCCUGGGGAGUACGGUCGCAAGACUGAAACUCAAAGGAAUUGACGGGGGCCCGCACAAGCGGUGGAGCAUGUGGUUUAAUUCGAAGCAACGCGAAGAACCUUUACCAAGUCUUGACAAUCCUCUGACAACCCUAGAGAUAGGGGCUUCCCCUUCGGGGGCAGAGUGACAGGUGGUGCAUGGUUGUCGUCAGCUCGUGUCGUGAGAUGUUGGUUAAGUCCCGCACGAGCGCUACCCUUGAUCUUAGUUGCAGCAUUCAUUGGGCACUUCUAAGGUGAACUGCCGUGACAACGGAGGAAGGUGGGAUUGACGUCAAAUCAUCCAUGCCCUCCUUAUGAGACCUGUGGGCCUU